rnacentral:rRNA from 1 species
UACGUAGGGGGCAAGCGUUGUCCGGAAUCAUUGGGCGUAAAGAGCGCGUAGGCGGCCCUGUAAGUCCGCUGUGAAAGUCAAGGGCUCAACCCUUGGAUGCCGGUGGAUACUGCAGGGCUAGAGUCCGGAAGAGGCGAGUGGAAUUCCUGGUGUAGCGGUGAAAUGCGCAGAUAUCAGGAGGGACACCGAUGGCGAAGGCAGCUCGCUGGGACGGUACUGGACGCUGAGGCGCGAAAGCGUGGGGAGCAAACAGG